rnacentral:rRNA from 1 species
UUACGUGCCAGCGGCCGCGGUAAUACGUAGGUGGCAAGCGUUGUCCGGAUUUAUUGGGCGUAAAGCGAGCGCAGGCGGUUUUUUAGGUCUGAUGUGAAAGCCUUCGGCUUAACUGGAGAAGUGCAUCGGAAACCGGGAGACUUGAGUGCAGAAGAGGACAGUGGAACUCCAUGUGUAGCGGUGAAAUGCGUAGAUAUAUGGAAGAACACCAGUGGCGAAGGCGGCUGUCUGGUCUGCAACUGACGCUGAGGCUCGAAAGCAUGGGUAGCGAACAGGAUUAGAUACCCUGGUAGUCCAUGCCGUAAACGAUGAGUGCUAAGUGUUGGAGGGUUUCCGCCCUUCAGUGCUGCAGCUAACGCAUUAAGCACUCCGCCUGGGGAGUACGACCGCAAGGUUGAAACUCAAAGGAAUUGACGGGGGCCCGCACAAGCGGUGGAGCAUGUGGUUCAAUUCGAUGCUACGCGAAGAACCUUACCAGGUCUUGACAUCUUCUGCUAACCUAAGAGAUUAGGCGUUCCCUUCGGGGACGGAAUGACAGGUGGUGCAUGGUUGUCGUCAGCUCGUGUCGUGAGAUGUUGGGUUAAGUCCCGCAACGAGCGCAACCCUUAUUGCCAGUUGCCAGCAUUCAGCUGGGCACUCUGGCGAGACUGCCGGUGACAAACCGGAGGAAGGUGGGGAUGACGUCAAAUCAUCAUGCCCCUUAUGACCUGGGCUACACACGUGCUACAAUGGACGGUACAACGAGUCGCGAAACCGCGAGGUCAAGCUAAUCUCUGAAAGCCGUUCUCAGUUCGGAUUGCAGGCUGCAACUCGCCUGCAUGAAGUUGGAAUCGCUAGUAAUCGUGGAUCAGCAUGCCACGGUGAAUACGUUCCCGGGCCUUGUACACACCGCCCGUCACACCUUGAGAGUUUGUAACACCCAAAGCCGGUGAGGUAACCUUCGGGGGCCAGCCGUCUAAGGUGGGACAGAUGAUUAGGGUGAAGUCGUAACAAGGUAGCCGUAGGAGAACCUGCGGCUGGAUCACCUCCUUUCUAA